GACAGAGGCCCCAAGCGUUAGGCGGAAUCACUGGGCUUAAAGCGUGUGUAGGCGGAUCGUUAAGUGUCUUGUGAAAUCCCACGGCUCACCCGUGGAACUGCUGGGCAUACUGGCGAUCUUGGGCCAACUAGGGGCAGCCGGAACAAGCGGUGGAGCGGUGAAAUGCGUAGAUAUCAUUUGGAACGCCAAAGGUGAAAACAGACAGCUGGGAGUGUGCUGACGCUGAGACACGAAAGCCAGGGGAGCGAACGGG
rnacentral:rRNA from 1 species